rnacentral:misc_RNA from 1 species
GUGAGUCAUCGAAUCUUUGAACGCAUCUUGCGCCCCUUGGUAUUCCGAGGGGCAUGCCUGUUUGAGUGUCGUGAAAUACCCUCGAACCCGUGUCUUUUUCCGGACGCGGGUUCGGAUUUGGACGCCUGCCGCGCGCCUCGUCCGCGGCUCGUCUCUAAACGCAUUAGCGAACGCGCCUUGCCUCUCAGACGUGAUAAGUACCCAUUACGCGGUUAAAACGUCGACGGGAGCGCGACCGUGCGUCGCUCACGAACCGUCCGCGAGGACAAUUUGACACCCAAAUCUGACCUCAAAUCAGGCAGGACUACCCGCUGAACUUAAGCAUAUCAAUAAGCGGAGGA